rnacentral:rRNA from 1 species
UGGGGAAUAUUGGACAAUGGGCGAAAGCCUGAUCCAGCCAUGCCGCGUGUGUGAAGAAGGUCUUCGGAUUGUAAAGCACUUUAAGUUGGGAGGAAGGGUUGUAGAUUAAUACUCUGCAAUUUUGACGUUACCGACAGAAUAAGCACCGGCUAACUCUGUGCCAGCAGCCGCGGUAAUACAGAGGGUGCUAGCGUUAAUCGGAAUUACUGGGCGUAAAGCGCGCGUAGGUGGUUUGUUAAGUUGGAUGUGAAAUCCCCGGGCUCAACCUGGGAACUGCAUUCAAAACUGACUGACUAGAGUAUGGUAGAGGGUGGUGGAAUUUCCUGUGUAGCGGUGAAAUGCGUAGAUAUAGGAAGGAACACCAGUGGCGAAGGCGACCACCUGGACUAAUACUGACACUGAGGUGCGAAAGCGUGGGGAGCAAACA